CAAAUAAUAAAUUUUAAUUGACAUUGACAUUUUCACAAUGGAAAAUUACAAAAACAGGGAAUCGCACGCCUUAAAUCUAAAAAUGCUUAAAUAAAGGAAUAUCACAAUGAAGAUCUUUCAACACUCAAUUUAUGAAUUCCGAAGAGUAAAGUAUUUAUAUCUAAAUUAAACUUGUUAACCAUGUUUCGGAGUCCUAGAUCAUUUCAUCGGUUGCUGCGUCUAGUGAUGGGAACGACUCGGAUUCUGAGUGUUCCAAUGAGACGAAGUAUUUCUUGCAACGCUGCAGAAAAGAUAUAUUUAACAUCCUACAACACACAGCUCCGGAAAAUCCUGGGAACAGCCUCCUUGGGCUUGGCAAUAUUAGCCGCUGACUAUGUUUUUAACGAGAAAAGGUUCUUCAAAGCUGCUCAAACUGGCAAUGUGCAGGAACUUCUAAAUAAUUAUAGACAGCUGG